ACGGGUGAGUAAUGCCUAGGAAUCUGCCUGGUAGUGGGGGAUAACGUUCGGAAACGGACGCUAAUACCGCAUACGUCCUACGGGAGAAAGCAGGGGACCUUCGGGCCUUGCGCUAUCAGAUGAGCCUAGGUCGGAUUAGCUAGUUGGUGGGGUAAUGGCUCACCAAGGCGACGAUCCGUAACUGGUCUGAGAGGAUGAUCAGUCACACUGGAACUGAGACACGGUCCAGACUCCUACGGGAGGCAGCAGUGGGGAAUAUUGGACAAUGGGCGAAAGCCUGAUCCAGCCAUGCCGCGUGUGUGAAGAAGGUCUUCGGAUUGUAAAGCACUUUAAGUUGGGAGGAAGGGUUGUAGAUUAAUACUCUGCAAUUUUGACGUUACCGACAGAAUAAGCACCGGCUAACUCUGUGCCAGCAGCCGCGGUAAUACAGAGGGUGCAAGCGUUAAUCGGAAUUACUGGGCGUAAAGCGCGCGUAGGUGGUUUGUUAAGUUGGAUGUGAAAUCCCCGGGCUCAACCUGGGAACUGCAUUCAAAACUGACUGACUAGAGUAUGGUAGAGGGUGGUGGGAAUUUCCUGUGUAGCGGUG
rnacentral:rRNA from 1 species